UCCCAGCCUCCCACUCCCACAGAGUGGUUGAAUAUGCAUAAAUCAAAUGCACUUUAAUUCAAGAACGCUCUCUACUUCAAACAUUAGAGAUGUCUUUUGGCCUCUCAGUUCUAUCCUGAAGCUUGCUUCCUGUUCUGUGCUCAAAACGAGCUCAAAACAAUUGUAUGCCUGAGAUACUGUUUCCAUGGAAGAAGUUUAAUGAAUUCUAGCAACCUUAAUUAGACAAAUUAAAUAGCCACACAAAACCUAUGUCUGGGCACCACCAAUCCUUCUGAUUAUCUAGAAAGACUGGCAAUUUUUUUCUUUCCCGGACAAAGCCCUGUUCUUUUCAAAUUUUUAUUUGUUCUUUGUUGCCUUUCUUCUAUGAAAUGAUUCACUCACUUGGUUGACUUUUGAUGUAGUACCUGAGUGUUUUUAAAAGGCAUGAAGGUUAAAACCUGUUCCAUUUCUGAUACUUUUGCAUGUGGUAAAAUGUAAACUAUUUGAAAUGGCUGAAGUGAAUGCUUGGUGUACAUUUGUAUUGAUAUGUGCGGUGGGAGUGGAGUGCAGGAGGACUGGAGUUCACAACUUCUCAGCAAAGUGUUACACCUCUCAGAACGGACAUCUAGACCACACAGUUACCCUUUUGCUAUGGAUGGGUGUGUCUUCCUCAGUUCUCACUUUGUAGAGCUGCACUUUUUAAAGUUCAGCUCAGACAGCUGCUGGCACAAAGAGGGCCAUACUGAAGACUCCAUGGAGAGAGUAAGAAUGUUCUCCCCUGUGUCUGAUGUAUUAAUAUGCUUGAUAUGGUGACUCAGCAGCUGGUAGGAAGUUGACGCUCUCAGAGGUUAUCAGUGGAUACUUCCACCAUCACUCAGCAGUGAUAAAGGGAAUUUAUGUAAGUGAUUGCUUUGUGAACACAGCAGCAGUCCACAAUAAUAUCUGCUUCCUAACCCC
rnacentral:lncRNA from 1 species